UGAUUUUUCAUAUCUAGGAACAUUUCCAAGUUUUUUUGUCAGUAAAUUUAAAAAGUUUUAAAAAUCAUAUGUCCUGUGUAAAUCUUAAUAAGGAUGUUCAUAAGUAUUAGUCACUAGCUUUGUGAAAUUCCUAAAUUUUAGAUAGUAUUGCAUGCAAUAAAAAAUAAUUAUUUUAUCAACUUUGUUCAUACAUGAGUUAUGUUUUCAUAAUAAUUCUGUAGCACUGGAGUAUAAAUGUAUUCUAAUGACUUAUAAAAUCUAUAUCUUUUUUGCUAGACUACACUUGCUGCUUUGAAGGAUGAAGUUGUAUCUGUUGAAAAUGAACUCUUAGAAUUGCAAGAAGUAGAAAAAAAACAGAAAACCCUUAUUGAAAUGUAUAAAACUCAGGUACAAAAGUUGCAAGAAGCAGCUGAAAUAGUUAAAGGCAGAUGUGAAAAUUUGCUACAUAAAAAUAACCAAAUAACAAAAACCAAAAAUAAAAAUGUAGAGAAGGUUGAUGGAAAUCACAAUCUUCUGACAAAGCUUUCUCUGGAAGAGGAAAACUAUCUCAUUCAGUUGAAGUGUGAAAACCUUCAACAAAAAUUAGAACAGAUGGACACAGAAAAUAAAGAGCUUGAGAAGAAGCUGGCAAACCAAGAAGAAUGUCUUAAGCACAGCAAUCUUAAGUUAAAAGAGAAAUCUGCAGAAUAUACAGCAUUGGCCAGACAACUGGAAGCUGCUUUAGAAGAAGGAAGACAAAAGGUUGCUGAAGAAGUAGAGAAAAUGUCAUCUAGAGAGAGUGCUUUACAAAUUAAAAUAUUAGAUCUGGAAACUGAGCUUAGAAA
rnacentral:sRNA from 1 species